CAGGUUAGUUUUACCCUACUGAUGGAGUGUUAUCGUAAUAGUAAUUGAACUUAGUACGAGAGGAACCGUUCAUUCAGAUAUUUGGUAUUUGCGCCUGUCCGAUCGGGCAAUGGCGCGAAGCUAUCAUCUGCUGGAUUAUGGCUGAACGCCUCUAAGCCAGAAUCCGUGCUAGAAACGAUGACGUUGGUCCCGCACAUAUAAGUUGUGUUAAGAUAGAGCUUUGCUCGUGCACCAAAUCUGGCGGGUUAGGCUGUCUUGGCGGAAAUGCCUGGGCAGUUCGUCCGCGAAUUACAAUCAUCAUAUGGGCGGGGGUGAAUCCUUUGCAGACGACUUGAAUUCAGGACUGGGUACUGUAAGCAGUAGAGUAGCCUUGUUGCUACGAUCUGCUGAGGUUAAGCCUUUGUCCAAAG
rnacentral:rRNA from 12 species